CUGCCAUCACGGGUAGAGCCGGGUCACACCGGCUGUCUCCCCCCGGCCGCCUCCCCGUGGCCACGGCGCGGGGCUUCCCUGCCCUCUCAGGCUCCUCCUCCUUUCUCUCAGCGCACCCUCCCUCCUUCACUCCCGCCCUCCGCCGGUGCUCGCAGCCCCUCCGCCAGACUUUCCUUUCACUCCUCCAUAGCUCCUCGGCGCUGCUCUUCCUCCUGUCGUCCGCUCCACCGCGUCUGGCUCUGCCUGGUAGCCCGGGGAAGGGCAGCGGGACGAGGCUAUGAGCCGGGUGGUGGGGGCGAGGAGCGGAGCAGCGGUCGCCGUCGCGGUGUAGGGCUCCUUCCCCUGUCGGGACCGGGGCCGCGGCUGGCCCCGGGGCAAGGGAGGAGCCCCGGAGCCGGAGCGGUGGUGUUUCCCCCGGAUCUGAGGGAGCGGGGGUGGCGGCUGGUGAGCGGGGGAUUGUCUCCCCCGCCCCAGUGGUGACAUGAUCGACUCGCAAUCCGCCGAGAAGAUCAGCAGAAUGAAAAAGUUGCGGAGAACUUUAUCGGAGAGCUUCGGCCGAAUAGCCUUGAAGAAAGAAGAUAGCAGCUUUGAUGAGAUAUGUGUCACAAAGAUGUCUACACGGAACUGCCAGGGAAUGGAUUCAGUGAUCAAACCUCUCGAUACAAUUCCUGAGGACAAAAAAGUCCGGGUUCAGAGGACACAGAGUAGUUUUGAUCCAUUUGAGAAGCCAACUAAUCAAGUGAAGAGGGUGCAUUCAGAGAACAAUGCUUGCAUUAACUUCAAAACUUCAUCUACAGGGAAGGAAUCACCUAAAGUCAGGCGGCACUCCAGCCCCAGCUCUCCUACAAGCCCCAAGUUUGGAAAAGCAGAUUCAUAUGAAAAACUGGAGAAAUUAGGGGAAGGGUCCUAUGCUACAGUAUACAAAGGGAAAAGCAAGGUAAAUGGAAAACUGGUGGCAUUGAAAGUGAUUAGAUUACAAGAAGAGGAAGGAACCCCAUUUACUGCCAUCAGGGAAGCUUCUCUUCUGAAAGGAUUGAAACAUGCUAACAUUGUGCUACUUCAUGACAUCAUUCACACCAAGGAGACCUUGACCCUUGUGUUUGAAUAUGUGCACACUGAUUUAUGUCAGUACAUGGACAAACACCCUGGGGGGGUUCAUCCAGAGAAUGUGAAGUUAUUUUUAUUUCAGUUGCUGCGAGGACUGUCUUACAUCCACCAGCGUUACAUUUUGCACAGGGACCUGAAACCACAGAAUCUUCUGAUCAGUGACACGGGGGAGUUAAAGCUGGCAGACUUUGGUCUUGCAAGAGCUAAAUCUGUUCCUAGCCAUACAUAUUCCAAUGAGGUGGUAACUCUGUGGUACAGGCCUCCAGAUGUCCUUCUGGGAUCAACAGAAUAUUCUACCUGCCUUGACAUGUGGGGAGUGGGUUGUAUCUUUAUAGAAAUGAUUCAAGGGGUUGCUGCUUUUCCAGGAAUGAAAGACAUUCAAGAUCAACUUGAAAGGAUAUUUCUGGUACUUGGGACACCAAAUGAAGAAACAUGGCCUGGAGUCCACUCUUUACCCCAUUUCAAACCAGAACGGUUUACACAGUACAGCCCUAAAAACCUUAGACAAGCAUGGAAUAAGCUGAGCUAUGUGACUCACGCAGAAGACCUAGCCUCCAAACUACUCCAGUGUUUUCCAAAGAACAGAUUAUCAGCGCAGGCAGCCCUGAGCCACGAGUAUUUCAGUGAUCUGCCUCCACGGCUAUGGGAGUUAACUGAUAUGUCUUCUAUUUUUACUGUACCAAAUGUAAGAUUACAGCCAGAGACUGGAGAAAGCAUGAGAGUCUUUGGAAAAAACAGUUGUUAUGGCAAAGGUGUAUCAAACAGCAAACAUUGAAGGAUACCUGUGUUCACAACUGAUAAUACGGCUUUUGUCCAUUACCCCUUGUCCUGUCACUGGAGACUACAGAAUAAAGUGUCACCCCAUCCUCUUGACAUACGCCAUUUAAAUACUUGACUAAAUUUACCAGUUUGAAGGAGGGAAACACAAACAUAAUGAGGAGGCUGACACCAGGAAGGAGUCACGGCCUGUUUUCCUUUCUUUCUCUACAGUGGACUUCAUUCAAAAGAAAACUGAAGCUGGCAAGACACUGUUUUUUCCCUGCAAUUUAUUUAAAACCUUGCACGUAUUUGGAUACCUUGUGAUUUCAGAGAACUAUGUAAAGACUAAGCUUUUGCUUACUGAUAGAUGGCAUGUACUCUUUCAGUCUUUUGUGUAUGAUUUUGUUUGAUUCUCCACUGCAGCGCUGCAUCUUUGUAAGCAUUUUUAUGCUUUCACCAGCAAUGUCUUAAAUACAUUAAGACAACACAUUUGGCAUUCACACUUCUUCAGUAACGACUUUACACAGAAAAAAGCCAAUGGUGGUUUGAGGGACUGUGUGUUUUCUUUGAAAGUUGUGCAUAUUUUGCAACCAAUGGAAAAGCUUUCUGCCAGAGCAAGCCCAACUUGUCUGAUCAGUUGACAAUUACAACACCUUGCCACUAUUCCUAAAGUGUUCUUGGCUUAUUUCUUUUUUCAUUAUCUCUUCAGACCAUUCAGAUACAUUCUAAAAACAUGGCAAUAAUUGCAUGUUUACUUCAGUACUCUGAAUUUGGUUACUCUGAUUAGGCUAUGUAGCAUGCCCCUUUUCAAAAUAUGCCUGUAAGAAAGACAAAACAAAAAUUAUGAGAUGUGUGCAGCUGACAUAUACAGUGAAUUCUUUAUGGUUUUAUUCCCUUUGGGAAUACUUUUUUUUUUUUUAAUGGGUCUUGGCUAACAUCUCUGUGUUUUUCCUCACCCUAUUUACCUUUUGGAAUGUUUUCUUGAAAACAGAAAUGAUAAAACUGUUUUGUUUAAUUCAAGGCAGAUACUAAGGUACAGAAAACCUUUUCUUGAACAAGCCAUUAAAUCUUGCUCUGAUACUUUGCCACAUGCAAAGCAAAGUGGAGAAUUUUCCUUUUCCCAAACUAUCUGCUGUUCCACACCAAAGCACCCAUCAAGUUAUUUUCCAUAGGUAUUCCAAGCUGAUUGGAAGGCAGUAACAGAUGCUCUGUCUUUAGAUAGCUUUUCUGAAUUAAUCAUUCAAAUGCCAAGAAACUAAGUUGUAUGAUUUUAGAGAAGGAAGCCCGAUACAUUUAGGAACUCUUGCUAGGCAAUAUUAUUCUGCACAUAAAUUUGACAUCCUUUGUUUGCUGGAUGCAUUGAAUUACAUUUUUAAGAAGUGUGUUAACACUUUGGUUAACUUUCAGUGUUUAAAAGGAGAGGAAAAGGAUUUGUGCUACUGCCAUCUUAUUAAACUCCAGCAGUGUUUAAUAAGAAAAAAAACUCAAUAAGACAAAUCCUUGAAUGCACAAGUAGCUACGAAAGGCCUCUUAAUGAACUAGGAUAUGAGUCUACGCUGUCAAAGAACUGAACCAUGGAAAUACUCUCAAGCCAUUAAAAGACAGUUUUCCCCCAUGACACCUCUCUUUUGGGAUCUGGUAAAAGCCAUCUGAAACCCACUUUCAGUCACAAUCCUAUUUAGAUCUUACUGCAGUUUUUCCCCUUGUGUUUAUGAGGGGGAAAAAGUGACCACAGAACUUUUGAAUUUAUCACACACUGAAACUGCCUUAGACGUGGUUUGUUUGGGUUUCACGUUUCUUUCUUUUGUAAGAGAAAAGUCUUUUAUACAUUAUCUUUGCUACUUAAAUUGUGUGCAGUUUGAUGAUUAAAAUUAGCUAUUUUUAGAAAAAAAACUUGCUGCAAAAGUCUGAAGAGCUUUUGGAAAUAUAAUUAGGAAUAUAAGGGUAGUCUCAUAGAUGCUUCUAUUUGGCAGCUUAAAUUGGGAGGCAAGCAAUUACACUGCUCAACUAAACAUCUGAAGGUUUAAUAUAGAAUAAUUCCCCAACUGUUCCCACAAGCCAAGCACAUUACUAUCCACAGUGACUCAUGUACAGUGUUUGCUUAAGGGGGGGGGGUGUGUGUGUGUGUGUGUGUGUGUGUGUGUGUGUGUGUACACAAGUGCAUGUGAGAUUAUCUUCUCUGCCCCAUUAACACUUUUAAGAAACCACUGAAAUAAAGUCGAUCCAAAUAUCUUUGAACUCAAUUGCCUGAAGGAAAGUGCAUAAAUAUCUAGAUUCCUAAAUACUAAACUUGAUUUUAGCAGUAGCGAGGUUAUGAGCUGCUGAUCAAUGAAGGAGUGACCAGGAACUCUUACUUACUUCCUCGGCACCCCAGUUGCCAGUAGUGCCUUGGGUUUGCUGCUCUCCUGCAGAGGCUCUAGGCCCUGGGGAUGUUCUGCCGGCACCAAGGGGACUCAGGUUUAGCAAGAAGGUACUGUUCACAUGAGCACUGCAAAUUAUUCUUCUGGGCCAUCAGAUCUGUUGGGAAGUGUCAAGGUUUUUUUGAGAAAGUAGAAGCUCCUUUGUCCAGGGAACUGAUGGUAUAGCCUUAUUUCCCUCUUCUUCCUUCCAUCAGAGCCCUUACCUGCAUGGCUAGCCCAAUUGACACCCAUGUGUUAGGACCCCCUGACAGCCAGCCCACCUCUCCAGCAUCUUGCAGAAGUGGGGUUUUCACCACAACUCUUCUCAGUGUUGCAGAAUGGACUGUUUAAACCCCAUCAGUGCUCUCGAGACAGCUUCAACGAGGAUGAGUUACCAUCUUGUUCUCUCAUCCUUCCCAAAUUGGUUCCCUGCAGAAUCUUUAAAGGGACAAGAAGAAGUAGCCUCACCUUCCAGGUGUGCUGCAGGUGCCAGUAAUGUUCCCUGCGAUCAACUGUCAAAAGCUGGCCUAGGUGACCAGUAGUCUCUGGGGCACAGUCCUUGAGAAACUGUGGGACUCACUCAGAGUCAAUAGCUGGCAGCAGCAUCACUUUCAUUUUCCUGUUGCUUGUCUGAGCCCCAGUAGAUCCUUCCUGAUGAUACUUAGAGGAUGUGGCUUUGCUGUGAGAGGGGAGAGCAGCCACAGAGCAAGAAGUGUACUAGGCAGAUAAUAGUGGGAGGACAAGUUUUAACUGCAUGAGAUCUAAUAUUGAGUGAAUGGAGAAGGGCAGAUGGUGAUAGAGACGGUCUACACAAUACAGAGAUGCCCUACAAGUUCAAGUCCACAAAACCUGACUUCGUAAGUCAAUCAGCUGGAGAUGACUUUGUCCUCACUCCUGCUAGAUUAAGAUCAGAUGAGGAUUAGAUCAGGUCUAAUCUUCACCCAGCAGGCACCUCACCAGUCAAGACACUCCAAUAGUGCCAACAUUACAUUACCACAUGAUGCCUCAGACUGGUUGGAUCCUUUUAGUUCUUAUUGUUUUUAAUCCGAAGCAUGGUUUAGGUGAAGUUGUCAGUACAUGUGGCACUGAAAAUUCAGUCUGCAGUAGACUGAGGCACAGGCAUUUUCACUUUCUCUUUAGUGUGCAGGAGUUCUGUGCUUCAGACUCCUGGAGGGAGAAGGGAGGGUCAGCGAGUGACGUGCACUCCUGUGUGCUCAGUGUCAGUGCACGCAACCGAAUGUGUAGUCAGUGCUCUGAUAUGCUCAUAUGCAAAAUACUCAUCUGUGAAUAUUAUUGGGUAUGUAAUCUUUGUUAGAUAAAAUGUUUAGGCUGUACAGACUGGGGAGCAAAAUGCAGACAUCAUAUAAACAGAAUUACAUUAAUCAGCAUAACAAUACUCUCCCCUACCAGCAUUAGGUGGAGUGACUAUGUUACUGCCUUGCAUUUUCACACAAGCAAAAAAUCUAAAGGUAAAGGAUGCACUAAUAAUUCCCAUCCCUGAAAAUGCAUUUCAGUGGUGCUGCAUACAAAAUCCCUGCUUGCCAGCUUCCACGUGAAUUUUUGUAUGGUGCAGUAAGGGGUGUUCUUUUUUUAAAAAAAAGGGGAGGACUGGUACAUGAAAACAAUGUUAAUGUAAUUAUAUAUAUAUAGCUAUAUAUAUAUAUAUAUACACACACUUCAGAAGAACAGCAUAGUAAGCAGUACAAUAAAAUAAAUGACACAUUAUUUGUUACACCUUGUAAUUUGUCUGUAUUAUGAAAGAUGUAAUGGUUUGUCAGCUGUAACUGUUGUUUUCUUGUAACAUCAUAUUGAAUAAAG